rfam:Cucumis melo, WGS project CAJI01000000 data, contig: 27928
UAUAUACCUACCAAUGAAAUUCACAAAAGAAGCUUAUACGGAGAAGAUUAGCAUGGCCCUGCGCAAGGAUGACAUGCACAAAUCGAAUAGAACCUAAAAAGUAUU